AGUGAACGCUGGCGGUAGGCCUAACACAUGCAAGUCGAACGGCAGCACAGUAAGAGCUUGCUCUUACGGGUGGCGAGUGGCGGACGGGUGAGGAAUACAUCGGAAUCUACUUUUUCGUGGGGGAUAACGUAGGGAAACUUACGCUAAUACCGCAUACGACCUACGGGUGAAAGCAGGGGAUCUUCGGACCUUGCGCGAUUGAAUGAGCCGAUGUCGGAUUAGCUGGUUGGCGGGGUAAAGGCCCACCAAGGCGACGAUCCGUAGCUGGUCUGGGAGGAUGAUCAGCCACACUGGAACUGAGACGCGGUCCAGACUCCUACGGGAGGCAGCAGUGGGGAAUAUUGGACAAUGGGCGCAAGCCUGAUCCAGCCAUACCGCGUGGGUGAAGAAGGCCUUCGGGUUGUAAAGCCCUUUUGUUGGGAAAGAAAAGCAGCAGGUUAAUACCCCGCUGUUCUGACGGUACCCAAAGAAUAAGCACCGGCUAACUUCGUG
rnacentral:rRNA from 1 species